rnacentral:rRNA from 1 species
CCUACGGGAGGCAGCAGUGAGGAAUAUUGGUCAAUGGCCGGAAGGCUGAACCAGCCAAGCCGCGUGAAGGACGAAGGUGCCAAGCAUUGUAAACUUCUUUUGUCAAGGGACAAAAUCAGGCUCGAGAGCCUGACCGAGGGUACUUGAAGAAAAAGCAUCGGAAAACUCCGUGCCAGCAGCCGCGGUAAUAGGGGGGUUGCGAGGGUUAUCCGGAUUUAUUGGGGUUAAGGGGUGCGUAGGCGGACGGUUAUGUCAGCGGUAAAAGCCCGGGGCCCAACCCCGGCGAGCCGUUGAAACUGGCAGUCUUGAGAUGGCGAGAGGAAAGCGGAAUGCGCAGUGUAGCAGUGAAAUGCUUAGAUAUUGCGCAGAACUCCGAUUGCGAAGGCAGCAUACCGGCGGCGAUCUGACGCUGAGGCACGAAAGCGUGGGUAUCGAACAGGAUUAGAUACCCCUGUAGUC